rnacentral:rRNA from 1 species
UGGUCCUACGGGGCGCAGCAGUGGGGAAUAUUGGGCAAUGGGCGCAAGCCUGACCCAGCAACGCCGCGUGAAGGAAGAAGGCUUUCGGGUUGUAAACUUCUUUUAAGAGGGACGAAGGAAGUGACGGUACCUCUUGAAUAAGCCACGGCUAACUACGUGCCAGCAGCCGCGGUAAUACGUAGGUGGCAAGCGUUAUCCGGAUUUAUUGGGUGUAAAGGGCGUGUAAGCGGGAGCGCAAGUCAGAUGUGAAAACUCAGGGCUCAACCCUGAGCCUGCAUUUGAAACUGUGUUUCUUGAGUGCUGGG